GCUUACGGCCAUACCAGCCUGAAAGCGCCCGAUCUCGUCAGAUCUCAGAAGCUAAGCAGGGUUGGGCCUGGUUAGUACUUGGAUGGGAGACUUCCUGGGAAUACCUGGUGCUGUAAGAA
rnacentral:rRNA from 1 species